rnacentral:lncRNA from 1 species
UUCCUUUCCGCAGAGUUCUUGGAAAAAGCGAUGUUUCACCUUGUGCAAGUCUAGCGAGAGAUGCUACACCUUGAAGUACCUUAAAGGUCAACAGAUAAAGGGUUUCAUUGCAAUUGACCAGAUUUCAAAUAUUGAGAUUGGCAUAAGUAAUUAUGAGAAGAUGACAGCAGUAAGGAAGAUGUUCAAAUGCCAUCCUGAGGAAGUGCUAUCCAUCAACACAGAGAGCAGGGAAUACUACCUCAUUGGGAAGGACAGGGAACAAGUUGAGGACUGGUUCACUUCCCUAUCUUCAGUCCGCAUGAAGGCAAAAGAAGAUGGAUGCUUUGCUCAGGUGGAAGAUCUCACAGAUGACAAGAAAAGGCCUCACUCAGAUCCCGGCUCUCGUGGUCUCCCUGAACAGCAGCCUCGCCACAGUUCACCAACACCUCUUCUUCCAAGUCUGAAUAACAAUUCUGAAAAGACCAGCAUAAAUCAGCUGCUGUUGGACUCAGAUGAGAACACCAGAGCAGAGGAGGAAGACUAUUAUGCUUCUCCAAGCAGCAUUCUAG